CGGGGAGUGACUGACUCCCGCCAGCCCCUCCACGUCAAUCAACCCUCCUCGUUCUCGCACUCUCUGCACCUUGUUAUUAAUCUCAAUACCGAUAUCGCCCGGACGCCUCUCCCCCGGCCCUCGGGGGUGUGAACGUGUGUGAGCGGGAGCGAAGGCACCGAAAGCUGGCGUCUCUGUUCAACCUCGGCCCCAGCAGCACCCGGCGCAGCGGCAACCCCCGCAGCGGCGGCAGCCCCAGCACCAGGAGGCCAAGGCCAAGGCCAGGCUCUGCGUGGCUCUCGGAGCAGUAGCCGCGGCUCCGGCCCUGCGGGGGCGCAGCUUCCUUCGGCUGGGGCCUUCGCGCCGGCGGCCGCGGCCGCGGGGCCUCUCUUGCGCGCCUGGGGUCACUGUCCUCGAAGCCCGGCGGCGCGGCCCUCGUCCCCCUUCCCGACCCCCGGUCUGUCUCCUCGCUCCCUUCAGCCGCCUUCCGCGCCGCCGCCUCUGCCGUUCGUCAGGCGGCCCGGCCCGGCCCGCCCGCCCCGCAUCCCCUCCGGC
rnacentral:lncRNA from 1 species